GAGUAGAAGUUAAAGCUGCGUUCACUGGCCCGACGUCAUUUCCGGCAGCUUGCUUCCGGUUUGCUCUUAAACGCUUCUGUUGUUGCGUUAGAAAAAAGAGAGCUGCGUAUUGAAGUGGUGUCUUUUACUUUGUCGCCAUCAUGAGAGCUAAGUGGCGUAAGAAGCGUAUGCGUAGACUGAAGCGCAAAAGAAGAAAGAUGAGGCAGAGGUCCAAGUAAAGACCUGUGAUACAGCUGGCACUCUACAUACCAUUUUUUGGAAACCUUCAGGAUAAACAGAAUCUUUGUAGCUUUCACGUCUGUGCCUUUAUCUCUUGGAUAGUUCUUUGUUUAACAGGCAACACUGAUCAUCUGUCAGUAUUCCCAGAGUUUUCAUCUGCUUCUAUCCCAUGCUAUUUUAAUAUGUUCUCUAGUGGCAAGGGAGAUACUAAAUGAGCAGAGCUAUUCUACAGCCUUCUUCCUUGUCUGCUUCUGUUUUUGAACCAAUAAAGGUAGUCUGUUUGA